CCUACGGGGGGCAGCAGUGGGGAAUAUUGCACAAUGGGGGAAACCCUGAUGCAGCGACGCCGCGUGAGUGAAGAAGUAAUUCGUUAUGUAAAGCUCUAUCAGCAGGGAAGAAAAUGACGGUACCUGAGUAAGAAGCCCCGGCUAACUACGUGCCAGCAGCCGCGGUAAUACGUAGGGGGCAAGCGUUAUCCGGAUUUCCGGGGUGGAAAGGGAGCGUAGACGGCAGUGAAAGUCUGGAGGGAAAGGCGGGGGCUCAACCCCCGGACUGCUCUGGAAACUGUACGGCUGGAGUGCAGGAGAGGUAAGUGGAAUUCCUAGUGUAGCGGUGAAAUGCGUAGAUAUUAGGAGGAACACCAGUGGCGAAGGCGGCUUACUGGACUGUAACUGACGUUGAGGCUCGAAAGCGUGGGGAGCAAACAGGAUUAGAUACCCCAGUAGUC
rnacentral:rRNA from 1 species